rnacentral:rRNA from 1 species
AGAAUCAACGCUGGCGGCGUGCCUAACACAUGCAAGUCGAACGAGAAAGUGGAGCAAUCCAUUAGUAAAGUGGCGCACGGGUGAGUAACACGUGACUAACCUACCCUUGAGUGGGGGAUAACCUAGGGAAACCUGGGCUAAUACCGCAUAAUACCUUCGGGUCAAAGGAGUAAUUCGCUUAAGGAGGGGGUCGCGGCCGAUUAGUUAGUUGGCGGGGUAAUGGCCCACCAAGACGAUGAUCGGUAUCCGGCCUGAGAGGGCGCACGGACACACUGGAACUGAAACACGGUCCAGACUCCUACGGGAGGCAGCAGUGGGGAAUUUUGCGCAAUGGGGGAAACCCUGACGCAGCAACGCCGCGUGGAGGAUGAAGCCCCUUGGGGCGUAAACUCCUUUCGAUCGGGACGAUUAUGACGGUACCGGAAGAAGAAGCCCCGGCUAACUUCGCGCCAGCAGCCGC